AUGGCCUUGGGGCUCUCUCUCCCCAAAACCCCAUGUGGGGCUGGCCCUGGGCCUCUGUGUCCCCAAAACCCUGUGUGGGGAUGGCCUUGGGGCUCUCUCUCCCCAAAACCCUGCGCAUGGUUGUCCUUGGGGCUGUGCCCCCCCAAACACCCUGUGUGGGGCUGGCCCUGGGGCUGUGUCCCCCCAAACACCCUGUGUGGGGCUGGCCCUGGGGCUCUGUGUCCCCAACACCCCGUGUGGGGCUGGCCUUGGGGCUCUGUGUCCCCAAAACCCUGUACAUCAAUGGCCAUGUGUCCCCAAAACCCUGUGCGGGGCUGGCCCUGGGGCUCUCUGUCCCCAAAGCCCUGUGUGGGGCUGGCUUUGGGCCUCUGUGUCCCCAAAACCCUGUGCAUUAAUGGCCCUGUGGCUCGCUGUCCCCAAAACCCCGUGUGGGGCUGGCCCUGGCGCUCUGUGUCCCCAAAACCCCAUGUGGGGCUGGCCAUAGGGGCUCUCUGUCCCCAAAACCCCGUGCGGGGCUGGCCCUGGGGCUCUGCGUCCCCAAAACCUUGUACAUCAAUGGCCAUGCGUCCCCAAAACCCCAUGUGGGGCUGGCCAUGGGGCUCUGUGGCCCCAAAACCCUGUGUGGGGCUGGCCCUGGGGCUCUCUGUCCCCAAAACCCCGUGUGGGGCUGGCCCUGGGGCUCUCUGUCCCCAAAACCCUGUGUGGGGCUGGCCCUGGCGCUCUGUGUCCCCAAAACCCCGUGUGGGGCUGGCCAUAGGGGCUCUCUGUCCCCAAAACCCCGUGCGGGGCUGGCCCUGGGGCUCUGCGUCCCCAAAACCUUGUACAUCAAUGGCCAUGCGUCCCCAAAACCCCAUGUGGGGCUGGCCAUGGGGCUCUGUGGCCCCAAAACCCUGUGUGGGGCUGGCCCUGGGGCUCUCUGUCCCCAAAACCCCGUGUGGGGCUGGCCCUGGGGCUCUCUGUCCCCAAAACCCUGUGUGGGGCUGGCCCUGGGGCUCUGUGUCCCCAACACCCCGUGUGGGGCUGGCCUUGGGGCUCUGUGUCCCCAAAACCCUGUACAUCAAUGGCCAUGUGUCCCCAACACCCUGUGCGGGGCUGGCC
rnacentral:lncRNA from 1 species